rnacentral:lncRNA from 1 species
UUUUGUUAGCAUUAGAAACUCACAGCGAACUUCGAAAGGCAAUACAUGCAACGAAAAGGGGUGUCACUUUCUGAGGUGGUCCUUAUCGUACCAUAUGCAAUAUAAAGGAGCCUGAACACAUAUAUUUACAGCAGACAUUUGAUGAUUGAAAAAGCACCAACUGGUACACCAUUGAUACUGCUGCGAGGAUAGGUACAGGUUAUACAUACAAAAUGAUCAUGGCACGGCGAGAAUUAGCAGUUUUUUUAUUGUCCCUGGUAACACUUGCUGUCUGUGCGUUACCCGAACACUCACGCAUUCCAAGGAAGAAAGGGAUUGACCCACAGAAUGCCAGGAGGGAGACUAUAUCGGCCAAAAAGUUUCAAGAUGCAAUUCCAAGUACGUUACAUGUCUCUAAACUCGAAACGAGCCCGGCAAAAGCAUCUUCUACAGAUAAAGGACGAUUUCUGGGUGGAAACAAACGAUCAGCACGGCGAUGUCUUUCUGGGCACGUAUAUUUGUGUUUUCCGAAAAAAACGUCGGGCAGACGGCGAGAGUUUGCUUGACACUAGAUGGCUGAUUUCACAGAAGUUUAUGAACAGAUGAAGCGCUUGACGAAAAGACCUGACUUUCAAACAGGAAGCCAGUACAGUAACUCAACAAGAGACUUUGAUUGCUUUUAGCACUGUAAAACAAACAGUUUAAUAAAGAAAGAAAA